CCAGAUUUGGAGUCAGCAUAUGAGAAUAAGAGUUUAGCUACAGAAAAAAACAUUCAUGAACUAAGGGCUUCCAAAAGGAAUUCAGAUAGAAGAAGUAAAUCCCUUGGCCGUAACUGGAUAUGCGAAGGUACGCUUGAAAGACCGCAGCGCUCGAGAGGGAGGUAUGUCAAUCAAAUGAUCAUCAAUUAUGUAAAAAGGCCUGCUACUAGAGAAGGUACCCCUCCUAGACCACAUCAGAGACAUCAUAAGGAGAAUUCCUUUGAAUGUAAGGAGUGUGGGAAGGCCUUUAGUCGUGGCUAUCAACUUAGUCAACAUCAGAAAAUCCAUACUGGCGAGAAACCUUAUGAAUGUAAAGAAUGUAAGAAGGCCUUCCGUUGGGGCAAUCAGCUUACUCAACAUCAAAAAAUUCAUACUGGGGAGAAGCCGUACGAGUGUAAAGACUGUGGGAAGGCUUUUCGAUGGGGUUCAAGCCUCGUUAUUCAUAAGAGAAUUCAUACUGGUGAAAAACCCUAUGAAUGUAAAGACUGUGGAAAGGCCUUUCGGCGUGGUGAUGAGCUCACUCAGCACCAGAGAUUCCACACUGGGGAGAAAGACUACGAAUGCAAAGACUGUGGGAAGACCUUCAGCCGUGUGUAUAAACUUAUUCAGCACAAGAGAAUUCAUAGUGGGGAGAAGCCUUACGAGUGUAAAGACUGUGGGAAGGCCUUUAUUUGUGGUUCAAGCCUCAUUCAGCAUAAAAGAAUUCACACAGGUGAGAAACCCUACGAAUGUCAAGAGUGCGGGAAGGCCUUCACUCGAGUCAAUUACCUCACUCAGCAUCAGAAGAUCCACACCGGUGAGAAGCCUCACGAGUGUAAGGAAUGUGGGAAGGCCUUUCGCUGGGGUUCGAGCCUCGUGAAGCACGAGAGGAUACACACGGGCGAGAAGCCGUACAAAUGCACAGAGUGCGGGAAGGCCUUCAACUGCGGCUACCACCUCACUCAGCACGAGAGAAUCCACACGGGCGAGACCCCGUACAAAUGUAAGGAGUGUGGGAAGGCUUUCAUUUAUGGGUCCAGCCUUGUGAAACACGAGAGAAUUCAUACCGGGGUGAAACCCUACGGGUGUACAGAAUGUGGGAAGAGCUUUAGUCAUGGCCAUCAGCUUACACAACAUCAGAAAACGCACAGCGGGCCGAAAUCCUACGAAUGUAAGGAAUGCGGGAAGGCAUGUACCCACCCAAACCAUCUCCGAGAACAUCAGAGGAUCCACAACAGUUGAAGAGCCUCUUGAACACCGUAGCCCACUCGUAUCUGUGGUUUCGCUUUCCACAGUUGGUUAUCUGCAGUCCACUGCAGUUCAAAAAUAUUAAAUGGAAAAUUCCAGAAAUAACGAAUGCAUAAGUCUCAAAUGGUGUGCCCUUCCGAGUAGCGUGAUGAAAUCUCUCUGUCCGGCUCCAACCGGCCAGGGCUGUGAAUCGUCCCUUGGUCCAGCACAAUCACGCUGUCUACGCUACCCACCCUGCUCGUCACUUAGUAGCCGUCUUGGUGAUCAGACUGACUGUCAUAGCAUCACAGUGCUUGUGCUCAAGCAGUCUCUGCUUUGCUUAACAGCGGCCCCAGAGCAAGAGUAGUGAUGCCAGUGAUUCGGAUAUGCCAAAGAGAAGCCACAAAGUGCUUCCUUUUAAGUGAAAUGGUGAAAGUUCUCAA